GACGAACGCUGGCGGCGUGCUUAACACAUGCAAGUCGAACGGUAAGGCCCUUCGGGGUACACGAGUGGCGAACGGGUGAGUAACACGUGGGUGAUCUGCCCUGCACUUCGGGAUAAGCUUGGGAAACUGGGUCUGAUACCGGAUAGGACCACUGCCUGCAUGGGUGGUGGUGGAAAGCUUUUGCGGUGUGGGAUGGGCCCGCGGCCUAUCAGCUUGUUGGUGGGGUGAUGGCCUACCAAGGCGACGACGGGUAGCCGGCCUGAGAGGGUGACCGGCCACACUGGGACGGAGGUACGGCCCAGACUCCUACGGGAGGCAGCAGUGGGGAAUAUUGCACAAUGGGCGCAAGCCUGAUGCAGCGACGCCGCGUGAGGGAUGACGGCCUUCGGGUUGUAAACCUCUUUCAGCACCGACGAAGCGCAAGUGACGGUAGGUGCAGAAGAAGGACCGGCCAACUACGUGCCAGCAGCCGCCGUAA
rnacentral:rRNA from 1 species